rnacentral:tRNA from 1 species
ACUUCUUUAGUAUAAUUAGUACAACUGACUUCCAAUCAGCCAGUUCUGGUUCUAAUCCAGAAUGAAGUA